AUCUAGUAAAGGUCUCUUAAACCUCCACAUAGUAAUUAACGCCUACUUCUAAUGG
rnacentral:tRNA from 1 species